CAGCAGCCACGGUAAUACAGAGGGUGCGAGCGUUAAUCGGAUUUACUGGGCGUAAAGCGCACGCAGGCGGUCUGACAAGUCAGAUGUGAAAUCCCCGGGCUUAACCUGGGAACUGCAUUUGAAACUGUCAGGCUGGAGUCUUGUAGAGGGGGGUAGAAUUCCAGGUGUAGCGGUGAAAUGCGUAGAGAUCUGGAGGAAUACCGGUGGCGAAGGCGGCCCCCUGGACAAAGACUGACGCUCAGGUGCGAAAGCGUGGGGAGCAAACAGGAUUAGAUACCCCGGUAGUCCCUGUCUCUUAUAC
rnacentral:rRNA from 1 species